UGAAUGAUUGAACAAA
rnacentral:sRNA from 1 species